AACGAACGCUGGCGGCAUGCCUAACACAUGCAAGUCGAACGAGACCUUCGGGUCUAGUGGCGCACGGGUGCGUAACGCGUGGGAACCUGCCCUUAGGUUCGGAAUAACUCCCCGAAAGGGGUGCCAAUACCGGAUAAUGUCUUCGGACCAAAGAUUUAUCGCCUUUGGAUGGGCCCGCGUUGGAUUAGCUAGUUGGUAGGGUAAAAGCCUACCAAGGCGACGAUCCAUAGCUGGUCUGAGAGGAUGAUCAGCCACACUGGGACUGAGACACGGCCCAGACUCCUACGGGAGGCAGCAGUGGGGAAUAUUGGACAAUGGGCGAAAGCAUGAUCCAGCAAUGCCGCGUGAGUGAUGAAGGCCUUAGGGUUGUAAAGCUCUUUUACCCGGGAUGAUAAUGACAGUACCGGGAGAAUAAGCUCCGGCUAACUCCGUG
rnacentral:rRNA from 1 species